GGAUAACCUUGCGAAAGUAAGACUAAUACCCAAUGACGUCUCUAGAAGGCAUCUGAAAGAGAUUAAAGAUUUAUCGGUGAUGGAUGGGGAUGCGUCUGAUUAGCUUGUUGGCGGGGUAACGGCCCACCAAGGCAACGAUCAGUAGGGGUUCUGAGAGGAAGGUCCCCCACAUUGGAACUGAGACACGGUCCAAACUCCUACGGGAGGCAGCAGUGAGGAAUAUUGGUCAAUGGACGAGAGUCUGAACCAGCCAAGUAGCGUGCAGGAAGACGGCCCUAUGGGUUGUAAACUGCUUUUAUAAGGGAAUAAAGUGAGUCUCGUGAGACUUUUUGCAUGUACCUUAUGAAUAAGGACCGGCUAAUUCCGUGCCAGCAGCCGCGGUAAUACGGAAGGUCCGGGCGUUAUCCGGAUUUAUUGGGUUUAAAGGGAGCGUAGGCCGGAGAUUAAGCGUGUUGUGAAAUGUAGACGCUCAACGUCUGCACUGCAGCGCGAACUGGUUUCCUUGAGUACGCACAAAGUGGGCGGAAUUCGUGGUGUAGCGGUGAAAUGCUUAGAUAUCACGAAGAACUCCGAUUGCGAAGGCAGCUCACUGGAGCGCAACUGACGCUGAAGCUCGAAAGUGCGGGUAUCGAACAGGAUUAGAUACCCUGGUAGUCCGCACGGUAAACGAUGGAUGCCCGCUGUUGGUCUGAAUAGGUCAGCGGCCAAG
rnacentral:rRNA from 1 species